rnacentral:lncRNA from 1 species
CUAAUUUUCGCAUUAUUAUGGAGCAAUUUUUUUUGCAAUGCACUUCUCUGGGGUUCUUCAAGUCUGUGACGGGAGAACAAAGCGUCAAUACAAUCAAAAGAUUUCUUUAGAGGGAGUCACAAUACCUUGGGCCCUGAUUUGCGAUUCGUUGAACAAAUGAUGUUUCGAGGUGGAAAUAACAAGGUUCUCAGGAUUAUUUUCCCAUUCAAUUCUUAGAAAUCUUCCUCCUGGAUUGAUGAAGAGAUUAAAAUCCAAGCGAGCUUUGGAGUGUCAACGAGUUUCUUGAACAAUUUUUCAUCACUAAUGCAAAUGCUCCACCUUCUUCUUAUUAAUGAACGCGUGCAUCAAGCUUCAGAAGGAUACCACGGAUUUAUGCAAGAUGUGUACACUUUACAAGUGAUCAAGGAAACACGCUCAUCAAUCAGCUAACGACAGACCACGUGGUACUCACAUGGUAUGAGAGUCCAUCACAGGCAGCUACAGCGAUUAACGGCUAGCAGGUAGAAUUGCACGCAAACUGGAAAGCGCCAGAUGGUUCAACAACUUGUUACAGAAUCAGUUACUCGUACAUUCCACUUCUCCUACCGUCCAACAAUUUGACUGCACAUAAGUCACUAUUGAAAAUACAUCUGUAAUACGUAUGACAGAUGAAGUCAAAGGUCAUGGCUCACUCGCAAGGAAAGUCAAGGAUCACUUACGUGAUCUCCUCCGAUUACUUCUAAUUUUUAUACCUUAUGAAUCAUCGAAAAUCAAACGA